UAGCUGCAAAAAACAUUUUCUAAAUAGAUCUUUACAGAUUCGUCUUUUAUGAUAAAAAUUCUAAAAUAAUAUACAGUUGGAUAAAUAUAUAUGUAUUGUCAUUACUUUUUUGAUUAUUCCCAUUUCCCAUCAGGAAGAAUGAUAUUAUAGUUGGAAACCAGCCCAUUUGUAGAUAGAAAUUAUCUAACAAGAUAGGUUGGGUUUUAGUCUCUAAAUAUUUUUGUUUUUUGUUUGUUUAUUACGGGCCUACAUAUAAGUGAAAAGCAAUGUAGAGGUUUCAUUUUUUGUGGGGGGUUUUUAGGUUAAAUGUAAACCAACUGGUUUCUAUCAAAAGCUAGAACACUGAUAUUUUGUACAUGUUUCAGUAAUACAUUUUUCUAAUUUAAUUACAUUUUUUCUUUUUUAAAACCUUUAUCUUGUGAUAGAAUCAAUUCUAAGGCAGAAAGUAAGGGCUAGGCAUUGGAGUUGAGUAACUUGUCUUGGGUCACAUAGCUAGGAAGUGUCUGAGGUCAAAUUUGAUCCCAUCUCCAAGCCUGUUGUCCUAUCCACUUCCUACUGCCCCUCAAUUUAACAUUUUUUUAAAUGUCUACUAUAUGCAUAAAACUGUAUUAGGCAUAGAGGUUAUUCAAAGAUGAAAAAGAAAUAAAAAAUCAUUUGAGGAGAGGGGAAAAGAGCAAAAUAUGUAGAAAUAAAAAAUUAAUUGAACAAUGGAAAUAAAUUAAAUGUUAAAUAUAAAUACAAAGUUAAAUUUUUAUAUUUUAGAAUAUUAUAAUCAAUAUAAAUAUUUAAUUAUAUCAUAUAACAAAUAUUAUCAAUAAAUACAAUGUAUAAUAAUAAAGGACAAGAAGCAAAAUUGUGCUGCUGCAGGUAUGUGUCACAUGCUGCUCUUCACUUGUACACUGAGUUUUAUAAGUUAUUGAUGCUCUUUGACAUAUCUAACCAUUCUUCACAGCUCACAAAAAAAAUUUUUUUUCAAUCUUAAAUCUCCACAGGCUCUAUUCUGAAUGGGAAAGCCAGAGUAGUAGAGUAGAAUAAAAAUUCUCCUAACAGCCACACCAGUUGUAAUUUGCCAUCAACAAGAUAUAGUCAAACCAUGGACUAGGGAUCUUCAUCUGUGCUCCAACCUAUAAUAAAUGAUGAUAGUAACAAUCUGAAGAAAUAGCUUGUUGUACUAGCUAAAAGCCAACCUUAGAAACAGGAAGACUUGGGUUCAAGUACUGUCUUUGACAAUAUUAUGGUCUGAUUGGCAAAUCCCUGAAUUCAGUACCCCAGUGAGUGAGGCAACACUAAAAAAUUCUAAACAUGAAUUGUCAAUGACAGGAGUUUACAGACUAGAAGAUACCCAUACAAAUGAAAUCGUAGGCCCAUAACCAAAAAAAAAAAAUCUUCAAAGCUAAUCAAAAUUCAAGUUUCCAAAAUUUAAAAUUUCAGAAUUAUCUAUUCAUGUGUUUCACAGUUAUGUUUCUGACAUUUAUCUGAAGUUAUUUUAUUUUUUAUGUUUUUUUAAACCCUUACCUUAUGCCUUAGGACCAAUACUGUAUAUUUGUGCUAAGGUAAAAGAAUUGUAAGGGCUAGGCAAUGGGGGUCAAGUGACUUGCCCAGGGUCACAUAGGUAGGAAGUGUCUGAGGCCAGAUUUGAACCUAGGACUUCUUGUCUCUAGGCCUGGCUCUCAAUCCAUUGAGCCUUUCAACUGCCCCUGAAGUCAUUUUAGAUAAGAUUUAUUACUCUAAAAUUAUAUUUUCUUUCAAACACCGUUUGGUACAAUGAAAAUGGCAUUGGAUGGAGCCAUAGGACCCCUGCUUUUAUCUCUGUGACAUUAGACAAGUCACUGAAAUCUUUCAAAGGAUCAGUUUCUUUAUAAAUAUAUAAAGAUUGGUCUGAGUGCCUUUCAACACUAAAUCCAAGAAUUUAAUAGCCAAAACUUAUCUUCUUGUAUGAAACAUAAAGAUGAUUAAACUUGUAAUCAUUGUAGUGGAGUGCUGGAGCCAGCUUCUACUCCACUCCUGUGGUUUAGGGCUUGUUUUAUUAUUUUGUUGAUUGUCUAGACUCAAAUUGAUAAAUGUUUUCAGAGAGCUAGUUGUUAAACAUUUACCAACAUAUUCCUGGGUAUAGGGAUCUCCCAGGUGAGAAGUUCCUCUACCCUUCCCUAGGACUUAUAGUCAACAAUUGCUAAGAGAUCUGAGCGAUUAGAUAACUUGCCCAGGGUCACAGAGCCCAUAUUUGUCAGAGGUAGUAGGACUUGAAUAUAGGUCUUCCUGACUUUUAACUAUAUCACACUAUCUUCCUUUGUUUGAAAAAAAAAUAAUCCACAAAUAAGCUCCAAAGAGAUGUAAUUGGGGGAGGGGAAAGGAGAGCGAUCUGGAACAUGCCCAGAGCACCUGGGACAGCUUCUCUCCACACGAAGAACCUGGAAAGCUUGUUCUGAGAGAAUCAUGAUGAAAGCAUCUAUUGGAAAUCAAAAGGUGGAUUGUACUUGAGGGGCUUUUUUGGUGUAAAUGUACCUGGAUGACCUUUGGUGGCAAGAUGAACCCUUGGGCAGUUGGAGAUUAGAAACCUCUUCGAUGCUCUCGAUCCUGGUCUUCAGGAGUUACUGGAACCAAAAAAUUCAUUCUCUGCCAGUUUUUUGAUGAUGAACCUCUCCACAAUGAAUUAUGCUGAUCCUUGUUCCAGUAACAGAUGCACAACCUGUCACUAGUAGGGACUUGAAAUCUUGACCUGCCCUAGCAUGUGCCUUACAGGGAUGACCCACAGGGUCAUUUCUGUGCCUCAGGAAAGCAAAGCAAAGGACUUAAGUGGAGGAAUAAUUCAUAUAAAUGAAUCAAUGAUACCAGUUUAUUAAAUUAUCAAAACCUUUACCAUAGAGUCAGAAUGGAAUUUCUCAAUUCUGAUUAUUUCUUACAACUUACAACAAAUGAUAUCACAUAAAAUUUGUAUAUGUAAUUGAGUUUACCAUGUAUAAACUAAGUUCCAAACAAA